UUUACGAAACUUCACAUUUUGACGACGACGCCGGGAGUUAAUGCUAGUGCGCAUGCUUCUUAACAUUUUGGCUGCUUCCUUUGGCGACGACGCCGUGAAAUCGUCUUCUUUGGACGCGUCCUGCAUGUUCAAGAUGGCGGAUGAACAUCAAAACACAAAAAGCAAAAAAGCAAUGACUUGGACAAAUGAACAUGAUGAAAUUCUAGUUCGUGAAAUGUAUUUAUUCCAACCAUGGAACUU